rfam:Cavia porcellus supercont2_38 genomic scaffold, whole genome shotgun sequence.
CCAAAGGCUCUUUUCAGAGCCACCCACAAUCUCAAUUAGGAGCUUU